CGGGUGGGAUGAGUGGCGAACGGGUGAGUAACACGUGAGUAACCUCGCCCCCUUCCUUUGGGAUAACGCCCCGGAAACCGGGGUCUAAUACUGGAUAUUCACUGGCCUUCGCAUGGGGGUUGGUGGAAAGGUUUGUUCUGGUGGGGGAUGGGCUCGCGGCCUAUCAGCUUGUUGGUGGGGUGAUGGCCUACCAAGGCUUUGACGGGUAGCCGGCCUGAGAGGGUGACCGGUCACAUUGGGACUGAGAUACGGCCCAG
rnacentral:rRNA from 1 species